UCCUGAAAUAAGGAUAUAUGAAGUCAAGUAUUAAAGACUGUUGACUGAACCCAAUCAGAAGCUGUAGAAUCCUUAAUGCAACCUAUACCCACACCAGCCAUAUGGAAAUUCGCCUCCAUCCCAUGAUUAACAAGAUAACAAGAAAUGGAAAUAAUUUGCCUCCAUCCUAUGAUUAAAAGGAUAACAAGAAAUGGUCAGAAAACUGGCAUCCAUAUCCUGUGUAUUCUCUGGAUCUGGACAUGUCCCCACAGACUGGCAGGAAAUCCAGGUCACCUGCUUCUCAGCUACUGUGGCAGCUCCAGGACCUCAAAGAAUACUGUUAUUGGAGAGACAUUUUCCUGAUUCACUUUCCAGGAAGCAAGAAGAAUCUUCGUAGCUAGUUAUACAAAAGAUAACAGAAGAUUAAAAACCCACCAGUUCUGUUUACAUAUUCUUAACAAAAGAUGUUUUGUUUGACCUCAAGAUCAGCUGCUAUCCAACGGUAUGCAGUAAACUUACUGAAAUCAUUUUAUAACAGAACUAGAAUUGCUAUGACUAUUAAGUAAAUAAGGAACUAUGUGUGAGCCAUGUCCAUUGGGUUAGAAGAAGUAGUAACGUCACAUCUGCCUUGUUGCUUAUAUACAGAAGGGCUUUAUUCUUCUCUUAUUUACACCCACUUCCUUGAACACAAUAAUUAUGGUUAAGACAUUUCAGCACUCGUAUCUCCUUUGGAAAGUUCCACUUUUUAGAGGUCAUAUUUCAGGUAAAACAUUUUCAUCAUUCUGUUUGGGUGAACUUGUCAGAGGCCAUGCCUGUUGUGUACUGCAGGCACUCUAUAUUUGCCAAACUUGUCUCAGGCACAAUGACAAUUUUAGUAGAAAAUGGGAGCGUGUAUUAAUAAAUUGAAAUUGAAUUUUGAAUUGGACUGUAG